AGCGAACGCUGGCGGCAGGCCUAACACAUGCAAGUCGAACGAAGUCUUCGGACUUAGUGGCGGACGGGUGAGUAACACGUGGGAACGUGCCCUUUGGUACGGAAUAACUCAGGGAAACUUGAGCUAAUACCGUAUGUGCCCUUCGGGGGAAAGAUUUAUCGCCAUUGGAGCGGCCCGCGUCUGAUUAGCUAGUUGGUGGUGUAAUGGACCACCAAGGCGACGAUCAGUAGCUGGUCUGAGAGGAUGAUCAGCCACAUUGGGACUGAGACACGGCCCAAACUCCUACGGGAGGCAGCAGUGGGGAAUCUUGCGCAAUGGGCGAAAGCCUGACGCAGCCAUGCCGCGUGAAUGAUGAAGGUCUUAGGAUUGUAAAAUUCUUUCACCGGGGACGAUAAUGACGGUACCCGGAGAAGAAGCCCCGGCUAACUUCGU
rnacentral:rRNA from 1 species